rnacentral:sRNA from 1 species
UGGAUAUAGGUCGGAAGUGAGUAACAAG